AUAGGAGAGAACAGGACACACCGUGCGGAUGACCUCUACACGCCACAUACAUUUUGCACCACGGCUGUUACUGCGACGGUCCUGCAGACAUUGCAACUACCAGAGUUUUACUUGACCGCAACAAAAAUGACAAUACACAUGCUUGGUCCAAAAAACACGCAAGUUUUCACUGACGAAGAAUUCAGUGAAAUGAAGGCGACCUUUGCGAAAUGUACGACAAAGUGAAGAAUAGAACACUAAGGAGUCAAAGGCUAUAGUGUUCUAGAUUACUAGACGAAAGACGAAGAUAGAUAGUUUCGAAAUGCUCUUAGAAGCAAUA
rnacentral:lncRNA from 1 species